rnacentral:hammerhead_ribozyme from 1 species
AUCUAGUUGACGAUUCCCAAAUAGGACGAAACGUGCGUCUUGCAU